rnacentral:rRNA from 1 species
AACCUCCGCAAUGUGAGAAAUCGCGACGGGGGGAUCCCAAGUGCCAUUCUUAACGGGAUGGCUUUUCAUUAGUGUAAAGAGCUUUUGGAAUAAGAGCUGGGCAAGACCGGUGCCAGCCGCCGCGGUAACACCGGCAGCUCUAGUGGUAACAAUUUUUAUUGGGCCUAAAGCGUCCGUAGCCGGUUUAAUAAGUCUCUGGUGAAAUCCUGCAGCUUAACUGUGGGAAUUGCUGGAGAUACUAUUAGACUUGAGACCGGGAGAGGUUAGAGGUACUCCCAGGGUAGAGGUGAAAUUCUGUAAUCCUGGGAGGACCGCCUGUUGCGAAGGCGUCUAACUGGAACGGUUCUGACGGUGAGGGACGAAAGUUAGGGGCGCGAACCGGAUUAGAUACCCGGGUAGUCCUAACUGUAAACGAUGCGGACUUGGUGUUGGGGUGGCUUUGAGCUGCUCAGUGCGAAGGGAAGCUGUUAAGUCCGCCGCCUGGGAAGUACGGUCGCAAGACUGAAACUUAAAGGAAGU